rnacentral:rRNA from 1 species
AUCCUGGCUUAGGACGAACGCUGGCGGCGUGCUUAACACAUGCAAGUUGAACGGGACGGAUAUUGAAGCGACUUUCGGAGUGGUGGAUAUAUUGUUUAGUAGCGGACGGGUGAGUAAUGCAUGAGAACCUGCCCUUCAGAGGGGGACAACAGUUGGAAACGGCUGCUAAUACCCCAUAUGCCGAGAGGUGAAAGGAGCGAUCCGCUGAAGGAGAGGCUCAUGUCCUAUCAGCUAGUUGGUGAGGUAAGUGCUCACCAAGGCGAUGACGGGUAGCCGGCCUGAGAGGGCGACCGGCCACACUGGAACUGAGAUACGGUCCAGACUCCUACGGGAGGCAGCAGUGGGGAAUAUUGGGCAAUGGGCCGGAAGCCUGACCCAGCGACGCCGCGUGAGGGAAGAAGGCCUUUGGGUCGUAAACCUCUGUUGUAUGGGAAGAAGGAAGUGACGGUACCAUACGAGGAAGUCCCGGCUAACUACGUGCCAGCCGCCGC